GACGGCAAAUGAUGAAUACUUGUAUUUUAAAUCUGAACUAUAAUGUGGAUUAAACUCCGCUUAUUGUCUGAUGCCGUA